rnacentral:lncRNA from 1 species
UAAUUGUUAAAUAAAACUUUAUUUAAAUUAAAUAGAAUUUGUUUUUUUAUUUUUUGAAAGAAAAGGAAAAGAAAUAAAAGAAAUAAUAGAGUUUGAUGAUGAGGACACGUGGGGAAUAAACCCCUCCAAUUCCAACGGUCACAUGGGGUGACCGAGAAAAUGGCCAUUAAUGCAGAAGGAGAAACAAAACGGUAGUCCUCCUUGGGCAGUGGGAUAAGAGUCAUCAUCAAUGACCUUAAAGCCUUGAUGAGAUCCACAUAAAAUCCCAACAGACAGCGAAAACACUCACCUCCACCUUAAACUCACUCUCUCUCUGCUUGAGACAUUCGUCUCCUCCCUCACUCAAAACAAAUAGCAAACUCAACAGGGAAAAACCUAAACCAUUACUCCUAACACAAACCAAACUCAGCACGACAGGCACGCAAAGGCAAACAAACAUCACCAAAAUCAAAGAAAACUAAACAAACAGGGGUCGACCUUGAAUACCGAAGAACAAGAAGGAACAAUCACUUACAGAGAAGUGAAUCAAGCAUGGAAAAACAUUACACAUACAUUCAGAAUUGAAAAAUGAAAACGAAGAAGGGGCGAGAAAGCUACCGGAUCGGAUACUUUGGAGACAAAUGAACAGGUAUAUGAUCUCCUACGCUUCUAAUUUCUUUGAGUCCAACUGUAAAUCUUUCCUUCUUCGUUAUUGAACAGUAGCGGUCGAAUUCCCUUCGUGUUCAGUAGUGGCGGCUGGAAAUCAAUAGGGUUUCGAUUAGAAUUCGUUUAGGGUUUUUUCGUCGUAUUCAAUUCCUCUAGGGUUUAUUUUGAAUUGUAGCCGCUCCUCUCAUCCCCUUUUUUCUGAACAGUAUCCCCUCUUUUAUACCCAGCUUACUAGGGUUUCAAAUUGGCUUCCGG